rnacentral:rRNA from 2 species
AGGAUUCCCCUAGUAACUGCGAGUGAAGCGGGAAAAGCUCAAAUUUAAAAUCUGGUAGUCUUUGGCUGCCCGAGUUGUAAUCUAGAGAAGCAUUAUCUGCUCUGGACUGUGUAUAAGUAUCCUGGAAUGGAUCAUCAUAGAGGGUGAGAAUCCCGUCUUUGACACAGACUCCCAGUGCUUUGUGAUGUGCUCUCAAAGAGUCGAGUUGUUUGGGAAUGCAGCUCUAAAUGGGUGGUAAAUUCCAUCUAAAGCUAAAUAUUGGCGAGAGACCGAUAGCGAACAAGUACCGUGAGGGAAAGAUGAAAAGAACUUUGGAAAGAGAGUUAAACAGUACGUGAAAUUGCUGAAAGGGAAACGCUUGAAGUCAGUCGCGUUGGCUGGGGAUCAACCUUGCUUUUUGCUUGGCUUACUUCCCAGUUGACGGGUCAGCAUCAGUUUUGACCGGUGGAUAAAGGCUAGGGGAAUGUGGCACCUCCGGGUGUGUUAUAGCCCUUGGUCACAUACAUCGGUUGG